rnacentral:rRNA from 1 species
UACGUAGGGGGCAAGCGUUGUCCGGAAUCAUUGGGCGUAAAGCGCGCGUAGGCGGCCCGGUAAGUCCGCUGUGAAAGUUCAGGGCUCAACUCUGAAUCGGCCGGUGAUACUCCCGUGCUAGAGCACUGUAGAGGCAGGUGGAAUUCCGGGUGUAGCGGUGGAAUGCGUAGAGAUCCGGAAGAACACCGGUGGCGAAGGCGGCCUGCUGGGCAGUAGCUGACGCUGAUGCGCGACAGCGUGGGGAGCAAACAGG